AUUGAACGCUGGCGGCAUGCCUUACACAUGCAAGUCGAACGGCAGCAUGGAGAGCUUGCUCUCUGAUGGCGAGUGGCGAACGGGUGAGUAAUGCAUCGGAACGUACCGUGUAAUGGGGGAUAACGUAGCGAAAGUUACGCUAAUACCGCAUACGACCUGAGGGUGAAAGCAGGGGAUCGCAAGACCUUGCGUUAUACGAACGGCCGAUGUCAGAUUAGCUAGUUGGUGAGGUAAAGGCUCACCAAGGCGACGAUCUGUAGCGGGUCUGAGAGGAUGAUCCGCCACACUGGGACUGAGACACGGCCCAGACUCCUACGGGAGGCAGCAGUGGGGAAUUUUGGACAAUGGGGGCAACCCUGAUCCAGCCAUGCCGCGUGAGUGAAGAAGGCCUUCGGGUUGUAAAGCUCUUUCGGCCGGGAAGAAAUCGCACAGGCUAAUACUCUGUGUGGAUGACGGUACCGGCAUAAGAAGCACCGGCUAACUACAUGCCAGCAGCCGCCGUAA
rnacentral:rRNA from 1 species